UCUCAUAAAUGUUAUAUUAAAUUUUAGAAUUAAUUUUAUACAUAUCCCUAUAAAAUUUAUAGUAAAUAACAAAUAUAUUUUUAUAAAAUAUAAUUUUUAUAUAUUAUCUCUGUAAAAAUUAUAAUAUUUUUAAAUAUAUUUCUUUAUUUUGUUACCGUUAAAAUAGUGUCUAUUUUAUAAGUAAAAUAAUUUUUUUACCAUCAUAAAUAUACUCCUGAGAUUAAUUGAAGAGAAAUAAAACGGCCAAUUUAUCUCAUUAACUAACUGCGGUUAAGUAUUUGAUAUAUGAUUAACUAAAAUUUUUUAAUGGGUUCUAACGUCAGGAAUAUAUUUAAAAAUAUUAAUAUUUUUGUAGGAAUAAUAUAUAAAAAUUAAAUUUUAUAAAAAUAUGUUUAUUAUUUAUUAUGUUUGUAGGGAUCUACCUGCAAUUAAUUCUAAAUUUUAUUAUAUUAGAUGACCAAAUCCU
rnacentral:lncRNA from 1 species